UGAUGUGGCGCUGUGUAAAUAAAACUGAGUGGAAUGAUAAAGCAUGGACAUUUCUAUGCUUCUGUGUUUGUACAGUUAGGACUAUAAGUGGCCUCUAAUGUGACAGAAGGUCACGACACAGUUCAUUUCCAGAGCUCACAAUCGCCUCGUCUGCAGUAUUUUAGCGAGGAACGAACAGACUGACGGCUCCGGCGUCGGAGCAGAGGAAGAAACGACGCUGCAUUUCAGUGUGUGCAGGAUCUGUCACUGAGCCCGAGGACCUGAGAGCGAAGCUGAGCGUUACUGAGCAGCUCUGAUUAGGAGGAAGAUGCUCUCCGGUCUCCCUCAGGCUGCAUCACCGGCAGCCUCAGUGAACGCCUUCUAACAUUUACAGUCUGUUUAUCUGACAAUGAAAUCUGCUCCCUGUUUCACUUCAUCCCACUGUGAGUGAGCAAAUGACAAGAGGUUUAAUUCCUAUUUGCUCUUAUGUUUUAUGCAAAGAGUGGUUCAUUUAUUCAUCCGUCCUGCAGCCAUGACGAACACUGAAACGCACACAGACAACAGUAAGACAUGAGAGCAGACAUGUGAGCCUCCCCCUGAUUCUUGGAUUUAAAAUUAGUAGUUCCAGCAACAAAGCAAAUUUUGCCUGUGGCAUUUAUGUCUGUGUAUGAUUUACUGUCAGUUUUAACGUAUGAGGAACCAAGUUUUUAUAGCAGGUUCCAAACUGCAGCCCAGGGUUAGGGUGAACCCUGAUAUACUCACAAAACCCAACAUGUCAAAAUACUGACAUACAGGGAACAUAAAGCUCUUCAUAUUUACUGAUUUUAGCCUUGAUGCACUCAAAAAAUUCAUGCCCAAAAUCCUGACUUUGCCUAUUUUAAUUACAUGUAAUUUUGUAAAAUAUGAAUUUGAAUGGAAUCUAAUCAGAUAUAGUGUACUUGAUUUUCAUACAUUCGGUUUAUAGCGGUCAGCUUCCCUGAAGAUUAAACAUUACAAUAAAUAAUCCUUUGAUCAAAAUUGUUGCCUCGUGUUUAUUCAGGGUGAAAAAUAAUUUUUCGAGUGUGGCCACGUACCAUUUAGGUCUGUAAUCAACAGUAAAAUGCUUCGAAAACAUGAAUUUGAGGCUGAAAUGAGAACUUUAUAGCUUUUAUAUCUUUGUUUAAAUCGUUAGGCUGUUAGGUCGUCAAAGCAAAAUACCCCAAAAUCUCAAAACUGACCAAUGCAUAGAGAAAUAUUUCUGUCUGCAGGAUUCUGUCUCAAGCUAAAAUGUGAUUUUUUUUUAGAAAUUUUAAUUAAUAUUAUUCUGAAAUACUGUUUAACGAAGGACAAACAGGCAAAGACUUCAUAAAGCUAGAAACAGCCGUGAUUGGUUGGCCAUAACUGGAGGAAGAAGGACUGUUAAGCUAUCAGCUAAUGCUAGUCAGACUGAUUACCAGUCUGCCUCCAAAGACUGUACAUGGACAUCACUCAGGCACAGGUGCAUGCUAAUUGGUGCUCAGUAACAUCCAAUUAAAAUCAUCAAAGUUCACUGUGCACCAAACCUGGAGCUCCGCCUUCUUGGACGGUCUGUUAUUACAGUAACAGGUCCAGUUCAGGUGAAGCUAGCAGACAGCUAGCAGCUACAGCCACCUGUGUCACCAUCCGCCUGUCAGUCACAGAGGCCACGCCCUUAAUAAUGCAAACUUUAGGCCUUAAUACAAUAUAACCAGGUGAGUUAUAGUACAGGUGUUAUGAAGGAGGGAAACAGACCAAACAGUUUGUGUAUCAGGCUGUAAACAUGUUUGUUUUAACAUGGAAGUCUAUGGGGACUGACUCACUGCUGCCUCUGCUGGACAGUAGAGGAACUCCAGGUUUCAGUGUUUCAGCAUUGGUGUUUUUGUAUGUCUGAUGUUAAAAAAGCAAAAAAAGGAGGGCUGGUGCACGAGCUCAAGACGUAACAAGACGAGAUGAUGAGAGAAAAGCGCAUGACAUGAAAAAAAAGACAAACUCGGAGUGUGGAGGUCGGAUAUUAAAGAGAGAAAUUCAGAUACUCCUCUUUCCUCCCUCUGCCUCACGCUCACACACUCACACACACCCUCAUGCCUCUCCCCAGUCCGCCCCAAGGCUAACACUUGGGAAAGCGUCAGUCUGUCUGCUUAUAACUAUCUGUCACAGAUAAGGAUGGGGAUAAACACACACACACACACGGACAGGGGCCACAGACAGAGACACACUCCGUCUCCAGUCUCAUAUCAGAUGGUGACGUGCACACAUGACCAACACACCGACUCCGCCACGAGCACUUUGAGCUAUCUUUCACGAGGCGACGCGUCAGACACACUUUUUCAUUUCAGAGAAAACGCGACAAACAGCUCGCAGCUCUCCCAGCAGAAGCUGAAAUAUCUGAAUUCAUUGUUGGCCUGAGAAAAAACACACACAGGCAGCACUCAGGAAGAAAUAAUAACUGCAUUCGUCUGAAAAGAUGUGAUUUGGUCAGCAGGACUGAUGACACGUUAGGACGUUAAACCUCCCCAGACGGCCGGGUGUAUAGUAUCAGUGUGCAGCACAGAGUACAGUGACGGUGACAGCAAAGUGCCAAUUAUGUUCAUUUGGUCGCUCGGCGUGACGUCGCCGGCUCUGAAACAGGCAGAGAGACGUGUCGAUACAGAGCAGCUGCUGCAGGGAUCUCAUUCAGGCCUCUGCUUUUUCUGCUGCGCUCAGGUUAGUGCGGGACACAAUAAAGUGCUCCCCUUCACUGUAGAAACACUUUGCUGCAGGCAGGAAGAGUCAUACUAACCUCUGACACACACCUGGCCACCAGCAGCACAUACAGGAGUAACCUGUGAUAUAUAAACAUUUGUGGAUCAGAUCUGGGCUGCACACACUUUGCUAUCUAGCGCACCUGUGCACGUGUUCACGUCCCAGUUAUCUUAUCUGGGUCACGGUAGAUUCCUUCGACGUGACUCUUACGCAGCACGGUGGUCUUACCAAAGUCGGGAUGGGCACGCCCUCCUCCCAGGAUCAGGAGUUUGGAGCAUCGAGGUUUAAUCUGUGGCGUCCCUGAUAUUUGAUGUGCAAACUGUUUUUGUAGGUGACAAAGUGUCUCGAGUUCAUUUCACUCCACGUUCCUGUUUCUCCCGCCGGGGACGACCACCUGUGCCGAGAACAGUCCUGACCCGCUGCUCGAUUUCGUGCCGCUGAACCUGAUAAACGAAAUGUUUCAUUCAUGACGUGACUUUUCCCACGACAGCGUCGCCGCUGGAUGUAAACAAGCUGACAUUUUCUCACCUGUGAAUCAUUCCCGCAGUUUGAAGACAAAUGUCAUCAGGAGCUGCUGGAAGCAGACGAUGCGCAGAGCUCUGCGUCCUGACGGCGACGAUUUGGUUUCAUGUUUUUAACUGAAUUAUCAAUCCUCCACUCUGCUUCCACUCAACUGCUGCCAGCCUGUGUUCAUACAGUCAUGCAUAAUAGAGCUUCAGCCUGUCCCGCACUUUUAUUGGCAGAUAUCUGAAAGCUUCAGCCUGACUUCGCAGUGAGCCCUGAAAUGGAAGCUAAUUCUGAAAUGCUAAAAUAGCAAAAAUGUACCGAACAACACGCCGCUGAUAAAUAAUUUACACCAGUGAUGAUAAAUGAAGUUUGAGUGCAAACAAGCUUCCAUCUCUUAAAUCUGCUGAACAUUUCUAAUUGCUAACAUAGAAACAUAACGCCGGGCCCAGCACAGCACUGUCAACCUGUUACAUUAAUAUUCUGAAAGGACCUAAUAUAAUAUUGGUAUUAAGCAUUAUGUCUGU